rnacentral:tRNA from 1 species
UAGCUCAGUUGGUAGAGCAUGGCGCUUGCAACGCCAGGGUUGUGGGUUCAAUUCCCAC